ensembl:lncRNA
GGAUGGGAUGGGAUGGGAUGGCUGGGAUCAAUGGGAUGGGAUGGAUGGGAUCAAUGGGAGGGGAUGGAUGGGAUGGGAUGGGAUGGGAUGGGAUGGGAUGGGAUGGGAUGGGAUGGGAUGGCUGGGAUCAAUGGGAUGGGAUGGAUGGGAUCAAUGGGAUGGGAUAGGAUGGGAUGGGAUUGUAUGGAAUCAAUGGGAUGGUAUGGGAUAGGAUGGGAUGGGAUAGGAUGGGAUGGGACCAAUGGGAUGGGGAUGGAUGGGAUCAAUUGGGAUGGGAUGGAUGGAAUGGGAUCAGUGUGAUGGGGUGGACGGGAUGGGGUGGGAUGGGAUAGGAUGGGAUGGGGUCAAUGGGAUGGGGAUGGAUGGGAUCAAUGGGGAUGGGAUGGAUGGGAUCAAUGGGAUGGGAUGGAUGGGAUGGGAUGGCUGGGAUCAAUGUGAUGGGAUGGAUGGGCUCGAUGGGAUGGGAUGGGAUGGGAUGGGAUGGGAUGGGAUGGGAUGGGAUGGAAUGGCUGGGAUCUAUGGGAUGGAUGGGAUGGGAUGGGAUGGGAUGGGAUGGGAUGGCUGGGAUCAAUGUGAUGGGGAUGGAUGGAAUGGGGAUGGAUGGGAUCCAUGGGAUGGGAUUGCUGGGAUCAAUGGGAUGGGGAUGGAUGGGAUGGGAUGGGAUGGAUGGGAUCAAUGGGAUGGGAUCCUGGGAUCAAUGGGAUGGGGAUGGAUGGCAUCUGUGGGAUGGGGAUGGAUGGGAUCAAUGGGAUGGGAUGGAUGGGAUGAGAUGGGAUCAGUGGGAUGGGAAGGAUGGAAUGCGAUCAAUGUGAUGGGGUGGACGGGAUGGGGUGGGAUGGGAUAGGAUGGGAUGGGGUCAAUGGGAUGGGGAUGGAUGGGAUCAAUGGGGAUGGGAUGGAUGGGAUCAAUGGGAUGGGAUUUCUGGGAUCAAUGGGAUGGGAUGGAUGGGAUGGGAUGGGAUGGAUGGGAUCAAUGGGAUGGGAUCCUGGGAUCAAUGGGAUGGGGAUGGAUGGCAUCUGUGGGAUGGGGAUGGAUGGGAUCAAUGGGAUGGGAUGGAUGGGAUGGGAUGGGAUCAGUGGGAUGGGAUGGAUGGAAUGGGAUCAAUGUGAUGGGGUGGACGGGAUGGGGUGGGAUGGGAUAGGAUGGGAUGGGGUCAAUGGGAUGGGGAUGGAUGGGCUCGAUGGGAUGGGAUGGGAUGGGAUGGGAUGGGAUGGGAUGGGGUGGGAUGGGAUGGGAUGGGAUGGGAUGGCUGGGAUCUAUGGGAUGGAUGGGAUGGAAUAGGAUGGGAUGGCUGGGAUCAGUGUGAUGGGGAUGGAUGGAAUGGGGAUGGAUGGGAUCCAUGGGAUGGGAUUGCUGGGAUCAAUGGGAUGGGAUGGAUGGGAUAGGAUGGGAUGGCUGGGAUCAAUGGGAUGGGAUCAAUGGGAUGGGAUGGCUGGGCUCAAUGGGAUGGGAUGGGAUGGGAUGGGAUGGGAUGGGAUGGGAUGGGAUGGGAUGGGAUGGCUGGGAUCAAUGG